ACAGGAAUUCUGAUGUUAGUCGGCCUCUGGGCUCAAACCUCACCACUUUAAACAAAAACCAGAGGGUUCCGUAUCCCUGAAUCUGGAGCUGAUGACUCAAGAAAUGUCCUUUCUCCUAAGAAAUAAUCCUCCCAUCUGAGAUUAGCAGUAUCUAAUCUGUUUUCUCCACUGCUGACCAGCAUCAGCAACACAGGUAUCUGAACAACAACAACAACAAAAAAACCUUAAGCAAUUUACAGAAACAAGAGGUUCCACAAAAUCAGCAGUUCCCAAAAACAAGAAUGGUGAAAAUUACGCUCAUACAAGAAGGAGUAAUAUUCUUUAUAAUUCUCAUCUAAUUUCUUAAGGUUAUGUUUACUCCUAUUUUUUAAAUGUCAUGGUUCAAAUAAAUACAAAAGUACGAACAGAGAGCUGGACUGGGAAGUGAGACACCUAAACUCCCGUCCCAGAUGGACGACCCUGAACAACUCACGUUUUGUAACCCCUUCCCCGGCUCAGUAUUCCCACCUGCAACCUGAGGACACUCAUUAAAUAAGAUCUGUUUCUAACUCCACACCUUCACGGUGCUAGUCCUGUUUUGGGUAUCAAAUCAAAAUCCUGUAAGCAAAAGGUGAAGGAUUCAGAAGUGAAAGGAAAGAUGGUGGCUCUAACUUUGCCAAAGUAAAAAGUACAGGCCUCUGCCAUCAGUGAAGAAAGAACCUAAAUCUGGUAAGAGUUUCAAACGGGCUCAGCACCUCCUGGCACACAUAGAGCGGCAUCGCGCUGCCCCAAGAAAAUCACAUCUCUACACGUCAGACCCUUUCCAGUCCAUUUUGCCCCAUCCACAAAAUGAAAAUGCCACUUGAUUUACUAAACCUAAAAAUUCUGUUGGGAGGCAAAGGAGAGUUAGAGAAUUUGCAAUGAAUUUAACCUGCCAGGAGAGGGAGUUUAACACCAAGCUUCCAGAAACAGGCUGCGUGGUAGCUACAACGUCCAGAAACCCAGGUUUCAACGCGGCCCGGCUGCACAACCCAAAGGAAAUUCAGCACCAGGCGAGUGAAGUGACUUACCUGUGCACAGCUGCACUCGCAGACUUCGGAGCCCCCACCUAAUUCUAUAACGCUGUAUGUCCAUGAACUUAAUAACAGAAGGUCAGGGGAGAGACGUUCUGAGAGCAAUGAAAGUCUAUCUUAAGAUAAAGAUGUUUCUGAAGCUGAUUUUUCAAGUCAAACUUGAGAGAGAAAUUCAAAGGCUAUGUUCUCAUAUCACAUUCCUGGGUUUGGGAGGUUCAUUCACAGCUUAAUCCUGUCCCCUGAAGUCACGGUUACGUAAGUAUGCUGUGUCACUUGCUGUCCCCACCCCCAACACAGGAGAUGCAAUGUAACCUGAGCUCCCUGGCUUCAGCCACUGAAAACACUUACACAACACUGGGACCAUUCCAAAUUGACUUGUUUCCUCUAAACAAAGGGCAAGCUAUUUGAUUUUCGUCCUACUUCGUUCACAUUUGUAUUUCUGUAUAUACAGAAGACACUGAAAAAGAUAAAUAAGAUUGAAGGGUAUUUGCAAAUUUUCUUCAAUUCUUGAGUAAAACAGGAAAGUCAACUAUUUAACGUCACAGAAGAGUAACCAAAAAAAAAAAUUUAUGGGCCUGCUUAGCCCCAAUUUAAAAACAUCACAUCUCCUGGCUGAAAUGAGCUUAAGGGCUUUGGAUGGGCUUCAUUUCCCACGUAGAGACUGUUUCUAGAGCCAGGCCCCAUACGCUACUGCCACACAGAAGGGCUUUGAGGGCACAUGGGAAACGGCUCUCCAAGAACACAGGAGACACAUCAGCAGUCUCUUCUGACUACUCUUCUUGCCCUCUCUUCCUUCUCUGGACUACUCCAGCUACUGGGCAGGCUUCGAUUACGGAAUGAUGACUCACCCGCAUUCCUGCCUUGUUUGCAUAUCAUGCUAUGACUAAGUCCCAUGAGAUUUGAUUUGUCUUCGCAACCAAAGAACCUAAAAAAGUUUGAUACACAGUAAGAGUUCAAAAAAAUUCUCAACACACCUCAAUUUGGACUCACCACAUUUCAUGUGCUCAAUAUGUGAUUAUGUGGCUCGUGGCUACUACACAGGACAACACUGGGCUAGAAUACAUUCUGAAGGCAGAAUACAAGCAGCUCUCCUCUUGGCGUCGAUAGGAAAACUAACAAACAGAUGAUACCCCAGGCCCCGCUGGGUAUGCAACAUCCAUCUUUUGUGCUUCAUUACAACACGUAUGUGAGGAAAAGGACAGAGAAAUGUAAAACUCCUGAAUCUCGAACUGGGAAUAAUUUAAUUGUUCUUAGCACAGAAGAGGAAAAAAUAGCACUUACAGUAAAAGGAACUUUAAAAUGUC